CGAGUCUUCUUGUGGGUCCCUCAGGGAUCCAACAUCCACACUAUUGGCCAGCUUGAUGUCAUCUUCUGUUCUUCGCCUGAUGAAGACGGGCUUUCCACGCCACUUGACUGUCACGGUAGUUCCUGGUUCUAUGCUCCCUAGGUCAACCUCAAGGGAUGCAAGGGCAAGGACAUCUUUACUUGCAGACAUGCUCACAAUAAGCUUCAAAACAAGCAGGCGGAGGACAGAGGCAUAAACAAACCUCCCACCCGACAAGACAAAAUAGGCGAAUGCACGCUUGCUAGGGUCACCAGGUGGGUAACGCUCAUGGUUAUGGUCAUCAUAGACAAUCUUUGAGUUAGGCGUUUUGACAGCUUCGACUGUGGCUGGGACUUCUGAACCAAAACCUAUCUCAUUUCCUUGAGCAAGGACUUGAGAAGAGAAGCCUGAAAAUAGCAUGAAACAUUAAUAUUUCACAUCAAAGGCAAACUUUAUACUUGGUCAAGUGUUCUACAAGAAUAAGAAUAAGCCACAGGACUACCACAAUCAAGAUGUGACCAUUGAUGUAUAAUCUUCUAAGGAAAAACAAAAGUACAUAAAACGGAUUCCAUGAAGUAUGAGAUCCAUCCAAACAAUUCAAACCAUCGUAUCAAACUCGGGGAGUGGAAACUUAAAUACGAUAAUCUCCAUAAAAAAAACAAGAGAACAAAUUCAAUGAUCAACAUGGAAACAGAAGAACAAAAAAUUGGAAUCUAGAAGCCAAUGUGAAUCACACUAUGGAUAACGCAUUCCAAUGAUUUACAAGCAAGGAGCUUUAGUCAUCAACCAAAGAAUUACAUCUAAACAGGUCAAUCCAUAAUCCAUCAAUAAACUCAAAUGUUCAUUUCCUUCUGGACGAAAGAAUGAAUCAGAGAAGCCAAGUAUACCAAAUUCAUCCAAACAAAUCAAUAAUAACAAAUUCAGUGAAACCUUAAAUACUAAAACCAACGUAAUAAACCAAGAGAAAAAAAUAUAUUGAUCAGAUGCUGUAUAUUACAGAAACGCUUAAAACACAACAAAAUUUCCAAUGCUAAGAACAAACAAAGCUCUUUGGUUAAGAAAACAUAAAUUUCAGAAUGCAAGUUCCUCAGCAUGCCUUUAAACAGCUAUAAAUCCUACAAACAUAGUAUACAGUUAAAACAUCCAUGUCCCUAACAAUGAAGAACUCAAAAGGAUUGAUACACAAGAUCAAAUUUCAAAAACCAAGAAGCCAGUGGUGAAUCAUACUAUGAUUAACGCACCGAAAAGAGGAAACUUUCCUAGUAAAACAAAGGAUUAUCUCAGAACUGAACAAUCCACACGAAAGAAGUAAUCAUCAAAUGCAAUACAAAUCCAGCAAGGAGAAGAAUGUAGCCAAAUGGUACAUCAAGCUCAUGGAAUUCAAAUCAGAUGACACGUUUGUUCCCACGGAUCAUUGCAGAUACAAUACUAGAAAUCUCAAUCAUUCCCGUGAAUCAUACAACCAAAAAAAGAAGACCUUUUCAAAAAUCAAUCAAUCAAAUAAAACUGCAAAGAACCACCGAAAAUGAAAAAUCAAUGUAGAGAGAGAGGGAAAGGGUUAUAAAUCGGCAAACCUCUGAUAAGGCUACGGUGGUAAGAUGAGAGAUCUGCAGAGGGGAGGGAUCUGGGAGCUGAAGAGGAGUCGCCGCCACCAUCGGAAAGGGUAUGGUCACGGGAGACGACGAAGGAGGUCGCAGUCGAAGAUCUCUGCGAGACAGAGAAAAGCCUCCUCCCUGCUACACGCAGCAUCUCUCAGCUCAAAUGUGAAUCUAGGGUUUCGCUCUAGCUGAACAGAGAAAUCCUCAGGUUUGGGACGGCCGAUGCAAAACAAAACAUAAGAGACUACUUACUAGUAAGUCCCUUAAAAAUUGUCUUUGAGAAAAGGUCAAUUUGUUUUGUUUUUUUUGGUUUUUGCGUAUUACUUGAUAUUUUUUUACUUCAGGAUUUUGAUGGCAUGGUUUUUUUUCUAAUUUUAAUUAAUAAAAUCUUUUGGUUUUACGAUAUAAUUUUUUUGUGUGUGUGUAUUUGUAAGAUAAAUUAUUUUAUUUGUAUAAAAAUCGUAAUUUUUAAUAAUAAUAAUAGGGGGUCUAUACUUGGUAAAGGAUAUAUUUUGUUGUUGUAAUGUUUAAACAAGAUUUCCAACAAAAAGACUGUUUUACAUCUGUGUGAACUUUUCAAUACUAGAAGAAAGAGCUAGAAGGACAUCAUCAAAGAAGUAGUCAUCGAUGAAAACAAUCUGAACAAGAAAAUUAGGCUAAGAUCCACAACCAGAAUAUGACAUCUUUCAUCAAAGUAGUAGUCUCGAGGUUCACAAUUGGAUUUCUCACUAUGGAAGAGAAGGUUUAUGGCUUAGUUGAGAAUUGAAGGUCUUCGAAAUGUCGUCUCCAGUAAGAACACGAAAGUUUUAUAACACACCUUGAACCUUACCAAGUUUUUGUCUCAAUUGUGAUAAUGGCUACAGACUUUAAGGAAAGGAAACUCUCUUACAAACGAUAUGUUACAAAAUUACAAACAUAAGAAAAAUAGGGAUGAUACUAUUCAAAACUCUUUUCAAAUAAUAAACAGAGACUAUGAAGUAUGAACAAUGUAUUUUCACCAGAUGAGACAGAUACUAAGUCAUACAAUGACAAGUUUGUAUUAUUCAGCAAAACAAGCCAAUUUUUGCUGAGCCCAAAGUGUGAGGAAAGCGAACUUGCACGCUAAAAUGCCGGAAAAUAUAAAAACAAAAACAGAUUUAAGAUCAUCCAGACCAUGACACUCGGACUGUUGUGCUUUAUUCAUUAACCAAUGAGUAAUUUAUUCUCUUCCAAGAAGCUGUAGGUCGGUACUUCCAGGUUGUAUGGUGCAGGACCUUUCCUAAUUCUUCCAGAUAUAUCGUAAUGUGAUCCGUGACACGGACAAAACCAACCACCAUAAUCACCAGCAUUAGGCAAGGGGAUGCACCCCAAAUGAGUGCAUACUCCAACCACGAUCAACCAUUCUGGAUUCUUGACUCUAACCGAGUCUUCUUGUGGGUCCCUCAGGGAUCCAACAUCCACACUAUUGGCCAGCUUGAUGUCAUCUUCUGUUCUUCGCCUGAUGAAGACGGGCUUUCCACGCCACUUGACUGUCACGGUAGUUCCUGGUUCUAUGCUCCCUAGGUCAACCUCGAGGGAUGCAAGGGCAAGGACAUCUUUACUUGCAGACAUGCUCACAAUAAGCUUCAGAACAAGCAGGCGGAGAACAGAGGCAUAAACAAACCUUCCACCCGACAAGACAAAAUAGGCGAAUGCCCGCUUGCUAGGGUCACCAGGUGGGUAACGCUCAUGGUUAUGGUCGUCAUAGACAAUCUUUGAGUUAGGUGUUUUGACAGCUUCGACUGUGGCUGGGACUUCCGAACCAAAACCUAUCUCAUUUCCCUGAGUAAUGACUUGAGAAGCAAAACCUGAAAAUAGCAUGAAACAUUAAUAUUUCACAUCAAGGGCAAACUUUAUACUUGGUCAAGUGUUCAACAACACCAAGUAUUAAGCAAAAAUAUUUUCAAGAGAUAACACAGAAGAAAGGAAUAACACUAGCAAACAUUUAACAUUAAUGCAUAGAAUAACAUAAGAUUAUAAAAACGGAUUCCAAGAGAUAACAGAAGGUGUCAUCCAAACAAUUUUCUACCAUGAUAUCAAAUUCAGUGAAAACUAAACUAAUCUAUCUAACGCAAGAUCCAAGGAAGGAACUUCAAUGAUCAUAAAUGCUUAAAACAUAAGAAAACUCCUAAGAUAAGAUUGCAAACAUAGCCCUUUUGGUUAAAGAUAUGGAAUUCCAGAUUCGUUUACUGAUGCAAGUAUCUUAUAUGAUGUGCCCAAAGACGAUAAAACAUCCAUUUCCAUAAUAAUGAAUAAACUACAUGUCAAAAUCGAUUAUCUCAUCAAAAAAGGAUUAUCUCAAAGCUGGUCAAUUCAUAUCCGAUCAAUCACUAUUCCAGCAAGGAGAAGAAUGAGACGAAAUGGUACAUCAAGCUCUAAUACACAUCAUAAGAAUUCAAAACAGAUGACUUAAUUCCCAUAGAUCAUCUCGCAGAUACGAAACUAGGAAUCUCAAUCAUUUCCGGACUUAUACAAGCCCAAAAGAGGUGACUUUUAAAAAUUUAUGAAUCAUUCAAUGGAUAACACCAG
rnacentral:lncRNA from 1 species